UCACAAAGUUAAACUAAUGUAGUUUAAAUAUAAAGGGCAAAGAUUAUUGUUUGAGCUGUCUCAUAUAAAUGUUAUAUGCUUAAAUGAUAAGUCCAAGGAAUAUGUGAUUGGGAGAAUGCAAUCUAAAGAAGUUAGAUUUAUGAGACCAUUCUUUCGUAGACACAUCCUAAAUGUUCCUGAUCAUAGGAUUGCCAAUUGGGCAUUGACAGUCCGUUAAGAUCAGUACGUGCUGUGUCUUCUCUCAGGGAGAGUGACUGGUCUCGAGUCAUUAGUGUGUGUGACAUCAAGACAAGUACGUAGGUGCUCAAUAGAGAAUGAGUUCA
rnacentral:lncRNA from 1 species